rnacentral:rRNA from 1 species
AGCAGCCGCGGUAAUUCCAGCUCCAAUAGCGUAUAUUAAAGUUGUUGCAGUUAAAAAGCUCGUAGUUGAAUUUCGGGAUCAAAGGAUCGGUCAUGCCUUGGUAUGUACUGGUUUUAUUGGUUCUCACCUUCUAAAGAACCAUAAUGUCAUUCAUUUGAUGUUAUGGGGAAUUAGGACUGUUACCUUGAAAAAUUAGAGUGUUUAAAGCAGGCUCACGCUUGAAUACAUUAGCAUGGAAUAAUGAAAUAGGACGUUUGAUUCUAUUUUGUUGGUUUCUAGGAUCGACGUAAUGAUUAAUAGGGAUAGUUGGGGGCAUUAGUAUUCAAUUGUCAGAGGUGAAAUUCUUGGAUUUAUUGAAGACUAACUACUGCGAAAGCAUUUGCCAAGGAUGUUUUCAUUAAUCAAGAACGAAAGUUAGGGGAUCGAAGACGAUCAGAUACCGUCGUAGUCU